rnacentral:tRNA from 2 species
GGCUUUAUAGUGGAAAAAAGACGUCAAAUUGCAAAUUUGAAGAUGUAAUGAUUACUAAAGCUU